UGCCUGAUUAGAUCUUGCUGGGUGGUUUGAUUCUGUUGGGCCCUCUAUCACCUACUGACAUACUCCUCACUGCACUACUGAUCACAGAGGGCCUCCCAUACAUUUGCCCGCAUCCAGUGAUCCCUAUAGGACUUCCAGUUUGAUGGUGACUGAGAACAGAAAUGCUUGAUGGUGGACUGCCAUAGGUUGUGUAGCCCAUCUCAAAACAUACGUGUGGCCCCCUGCUCGAAGAUCGGAUGGCCAGCCUCCUCAUCCUGAGGAGAUAAGAAUCGAUAGUAUCCCUCCAAGUAGAAGCAAGUAUGUAUUAAUAAAUAGAAUAUAAAACUAUCAUGAAUUAUUAAAUUAAACACCUUUGACUUACCAGGA
rnacentral:lncRNA from 1 species